GCACAGGAGAGCUUGCUCUCUGGGUGGCGAGUGGCGGACGGGNUGAGGAAUACAUCGGAAUCUACCUUUUCGUGGGGGAUGACGUAGGGAAACUUACGCUAAUACCGCAUACGACCUACGGGUGAAAGUGGGGGACCGCAAGGCCUCACGCGAUUAGAUGAGCCGAUGUCCGAUUAGCUAGUUGGCGGGGUAAUGGCCCACCAAGGCGACGAUCGGUAGCUGGUCUGAGAGGAUGAUCAGCCACACUGGAACUGAGACACGGUCCAGACUCCUACGGGAGGCAGCAGUGGGGAAUAUUGGACAAUGGGCGCAAGCCUGAUCCAGCCAUACCGCGUGGGUGAAGAAGGCCUUCGGGUUGUAAAGCCCUUUUGUUGGGAAAGAAAUCCUAUCGGUUAAUAACCGGUGGGGAUGACGGUACCCAAAGAAUAAGCACCGGCUAACUUCGUGCCAGCAGCCGCGGUAAUACGAAGGGUGCAAGCGUUACUCGGAAUUACUGGGCGUAAAGCGUGCGUAGGUGGUGGUUUAAGUCUGCUGUGAAAGCCCUGGGCUCAACCUGGGAAUUGCAGUGGAUACUGGAUCACUAGAGUGUGGUAGAGGGAUGCGGAAUUUCUGGUGUAGCAGUGAAAUGCGUAGAGAUCAGAAGGAACAUCCGUGGCGAAGGCGGCAUCCUGGGCCAACA
rnacentral:rRNA from 1 species